GGCAUCAUGGCUUAGUUGGCUAAAGUACUUGCCUUGUAAGCAGAAGCUCUUGGGUUCAAUUCUCAGUGGUACCU
rnacentral:tRNA from 1 species